rnacentral:tRNA from 1 species
GCUGAUGUAGCUUAAUUAAAGCAUAACACUGAAGAUGUUAAGACGAGCUUAAUCAACUCCAUGAGCA